rnacentral:rRNA from 1 species
GAUGAACGCUGGCGGCGUGCUUAACACAUGCAAGUCGAACGGAAAGGCCCAAGCUUGCUUGGGUACUCGAGUGGCGAACGGGUGAGUAACACGUGGGUGAUCUGCCCUGCACUUCGGGAUAAGCCUGGGAAACUGGGUCUAAUACCGGAUAGGACGAUGGUUUGGAUGCCAUUGUGGAAAGUUUUUUCGGUGUGGGAUGAGCUCGCGGCCUAUCAGCUUGUUGGUGGGGUAAUGGCCUACCAAGGCGUCGACGGGUAGCCGGCCUGAGAGGGUGUACGGCGACAUGGGGACUGGGAUACGGCCCAGACUCCUACGGGAGGCAGCAGUGGGGAAUAUUGCACAAUGGGCGCAAGCCUGAUGCAGCGACGCCGCGUGGGGGAUGACGGCCUUCGGGUUGUAAACUCCUUUCGCUAGGGACGAAGCGUUUUUGUGACGGUACCUGGAGAAGAAGCACCGGCUAACUACGUG